GUCCCAGGACAUAUUGGAGAGCAAAGCAGCAGUCGUGCGAUGACAGACAGCACGUGCUCCUGCCUCAAAGUGGGAGAGAAUCCACUGAACCGAAGAGAUCUUGGAGUUCUCCUGGAUAAUUCUGUGGAAACCUCCCCUCCAUGUGCAGCAUCUAGGCAAGGAGUAGAAAAUAAGAGACAAUACCAUAACGUCGUUAUAUAAACCCCUGGUGCGCCCACACCCUGAGUAGUGUGUGCAGUUCUGGUCGCCCCAGCUCAGGACAUAGUGAACUGAAAAAGGCUCAGAGAAGGGCAACAAAGACAAUUGAGGGUAUGAAACGGCUUCUGUACGAGGAGAGACUAAAACAAUUAGGGCAGGUCAGCUUCGAAAAGAGACGACUAAGAGGGGGCUGUGAUAGAGGUCUAUAAAAUUACGAGUAAGUGACUAGAGAAGUGUUAUUUACCCUUUCCCACAGGACAAAAACCAGGGGUCACCCGAUGACUUUCAUAGGCCGCAGGUUCAAUACGGACAAGGAAGUACUUUUUCACACAAUGCAUAACUCACCUGUGGAACUUGUUGCCAUGGGAUGUUGUGAUGGCUAAAAGAAUAAUUGGAUUCAGAAAAGAACUGGAGAAGUUCAUGGUGGAGCGAUCUAUCAAUGGCUAUUAGCCAAGAUGGUCAGGGACACAAUCCCAUGCUUAGGGCAACCCUGACCCUGUGACUGCUGAAAGCCAGGAAGGGUAGUUGGGAGUGGAUCACUCAUAAUUGCCCUCUUCCAGACACUCCCCCUGAAGCUCUGGUACACAGGAUCUGUGCUAUGCCCCCACCUUUGUAACAGUCUCUUGCAGAAGUCCUUCAAUGUCCCAGACCCCCAAAGGGAUUUCAUUCUUCCCGCAGGGCCUCACCACCUCCUGAGACUGCACCCCUGGCUCAUAUCAUGAGCUCUGCUCAGUGAGUCCCACUGCAAUAGACUCCUGGAGGGAGACUUGUCCGCUCUUCGGGGACUAAUGCACCUCACCCAGCAUUUACAAGCAGCGCUGUAAAAACAGACGGGUUUAUCAGUCAGCUGGAACCCAGCCCAGGAAGUCCUUCGCUAGACUGGGUGGAACAGUGAGAAAUAGCCUGUAUGUUAUAUCCCUCCUCCCGCUCCCCCCAGUGCCUGUUGUGUCUGCGGAGACUGUGUGCUCUCUAGGGCAGGGACUGUCUAUGUCUGUGCCCAGGCCAGCACAGCAGGGCCCCGAUCUCGGCUGGGUUCGCAGGCACCACUGUGACACACAACCAUGAGCUGUAUGCUGGGGAGCACGCCAGCCCUGGGACCUACGGCCUUCUCCAUCUAUGACCUGGAAUUCCAGAGCAUGAAAACUUCUUCCCACCUCCCCGCGCACUGGCUCCCUUUCCCCGCCUGAGGAGCCGCUGGGGCUGCCUGUGACAGGAGAGCAGCUUCCCAUUAAUCUUCAUUGAAGCGCUGCGCGGAAGCGGCUGAGAGGAGAUGAGAGAGGUGUGACCAAAGGCUGCUGCCGGGGCUUAAAUUCAGCGGAGCUCCGGGCUGAAGAAGCUAAAUGGAGAGGCUGGUCACUGCCAGGAUCGCUCUUCCUCUCCUUGGUUGAAGAUCGGUACCACGUUUGCUCCCCUCGGCCCCUUCCCCGGUGUCCACGGCCUUUCAGAAAUAAUUUUCAGCCGUGCAGGAAGCUUGUUUGCCAGUUCCCUCCAUGCCCUAGGGCGUGUCCCCUCCAGAUCAGCUGAGCGGCGGCUGUGUGACUCCUUUGAUGGCUUUUUAUCAGCUGAUUUUUUUUUUACAGCAUUUUCAUGGCGUCCUAAUUGUCCGAACUUUGUUUUCAUGAAGGACACGUAAAGGUUUCACAGCAUCUCGGCCCCUGUAGAAUCGUCGUUAAUUUCUUGCCCCUCUUUAUUCUUAAAGGGGCGGCUUUCUCUCGCUGGAUUGCCCCUGGGAUGGCGUUAACUCACUGGGGCAGAUUCACCCUUGCGUGGGCAGAGGUCCCAGUGCAGGGAUGGAAAGGAGGAGGCAGGUCCCAGCUCAGACCUACUUGUUGCAAUGGUCCCUAUUGAUCACUCCCUCCCUCCCGCCUUCAGUCCCCCUUAUGUCCAGGGCUGCCGUGGUGGCAAAGGAGUUCUCUGCACCACAGUCUUCCCCGGGCUAGGCAGUCCUGCUCCCCGUCCUGUGGCCAGGCCCGGUGCAAAGGGACGACAGUGCAACCUUGAAUCUGGCCCAUUGCUUCUUUCUCUUCCCUCCUCCGUGCUGCGUAUCCUGGUGAGGUUUCCUCCCUGCUUUUCCAGCUCCGGGAUUUUCUAGCCCCUCUGCCCCUGCUCUCUGAGCUGCUCCCUCGUUCAGAAACACCAGCCUCCUCGUGCUCUGCACAGCUUCCUUUCCCAGGGAGUCUACAGUCUGCUUUGCCUUGAUGGGGGUGCUGGAAAGGAAAGGUUGAUUUGUGUUCUUUGCAUCAUUCACUCCCACACACACACCCAGGCCAGUCUUUAUGCUGGCGACCUUUCAACGUAAUUAAAGAGAAAAUGAAUAAA